UUUAUAGAUCAUCUUCCCCCUAGGUGGUGGUGGUCGGCGACAGCGGUGAAGGUGGAGGUAGGUGUUAGUGAGCGGGAGGCGGUGAGGGAGGAUUGCGGUGGUGGAGGUAGGUGGUGGUGAGCGGGAGGCGGUGGUUGACGAUCUCAAGAGAGGUUUGGGUUUUGUGGAGGCGGGAGUGACUUUAACCGAUGUCCGGCAACCUGAGGUAACCUUUGUUUCAUUCCGGCGGUGCCGAUGAGAGGGUAGAAAUCCAAUCUUUUUUCUUUAUUUUUUUAUUUUUGCUAAAUUUGGAUAUUUUCCCAUUUUGGGUUUUUGAUUUAUUGGUCUGAUUCAUCUGGGUCCCUAAACUGCCGUGUAAUUAUCAUCAUCUGGUGGGAAACGUGAUGGUUGAUGAUAAGAAAAGACCAGGUAGUUGAAACUUGAUUAUUUUUUUAAGAUGCCAUAUCAUUGUUCCUGUUUUCUUGUUGCUGGUGUUCAACUAAUUAGUUCUUGUAUAUGAUUAUUUUAUUUUGAGUAAACUGGCAAACACAAAGAUCAUAAUCUGGGGGGGGUGAUCUGUAAAUGGGGAGAUUAUUAAUAGGUUAAAUGAAAAUCAGUUGGACAAAAAUGCCCCAGCAUAAAAAGAUAAAAUAGACAGGUUGCAACAGUCAAAAAGGAGGGUUUUUGAAUUUUGGACUAAAAUGGCAAUAAAAGUGAAACCACAGGGACCCAGAUUUAAAAAGUUUGAGAUUUGGACCAAAAUGACAAAAGUGCCCAAACCACAGGGACCAAAAUGGCAGUUUACUCUUUUUAUUUUUUUCAUUUUAUAUUGUUUGUAAUCUAAAUGUUUGUUGUUUAUCAUCUAAUUCUCUAGUAUUUAAAAAAAUUAGUAUAAAACGCCAAAAACUUCAAAUAACAAAACGCCUGAUAGUGUGAAAAACUAUGAGAACGAAUGCUAGCAAAGCAGGAUGUUGCUAUAUAAAACGCCAAAGAACGCAAACAAAGUAAAAAGAAAAAUAAAAAGCCGGAAACAUUAUUGCCAAACAUUAUAGUUAUAUUAAUGCCACUACAUGGAAAACUGAAAUUUAUUUAUCUUUUCAAAACGGCAUAAUUGUCUGUCACAUUAUAGGCUUGUAUCCUACAUGGCAAAACACUAGAUAUAAAAUAAAAUUAAGAAAAUUACUGAUGUUUUUGCAUUAAAGGCAUGCAUCCUAAUCUAAAAAAACAAAUAAAAACGCCAAAACAAUACUUAAAACGCCAAAAUAUUUACUAUGAUUCUGAUCUAAAAACAAUAAAACGCCGCGUAUUUAUUAAACACCAAAAAAUGGAAAGAUGAAGUGAC
rnacentral:lncRNA from 1 species